UACGGGGGGGGCAAGCGUUGUUCGGAAUUACUGGGCGUAAAGGGCGCGUAGGCGGCCUGCUAAGUCGGACGUGAAAUCCCUCGGCUCAACCGGGGAACUGCGUCCGAUACUGGCGAGGCUUGAAUCCGGGAGAGGGAUGUGGAAUUCCGGGUGUAGUGGUGAAAUGCGUAGAGAUCCGGAGGAACACCAGUGGCGAAGGCGACACGCUGGGCCGUACCUGACACUGAUGCGCGACAGCAUGGGGAGCAAACAGG
rnacentral:rRNA from 1 species